rnacentral:SRP_RNA from 1 species
GACCGGUCGCCUCGUAACAGAAGGCCAUGAACCUCGUCAGGUCCGGAAGGAAGCAGCGAUAAGUGAUUUCUUCUGUGUCAAGGAUCGAUCCCGGUUA